ensembl:lncRNA
AUUUUUUUACAUAAUAUAAUUAUAUUUACUGGAUUUUCUCUCUAUUGUAGUUUAGUAUUAUAGCUAUUACUUGUUUUUUAUUGACUUGUCUUGUUUUUACAAUGAUUUGCUUUGACUGCAGCCUUUAAAGAAAAGACUAUCUGUUCAGUAACUAUCCAUCAGACUGGGUCCAUGUUACCAGCCAAAUGGGGAAUAAUUAAAGUAAGUUUUGAAUUACGUAUAUUUGGGUGUUUAGGUGACACUUUUGCAAAAAAAAAAAAUUAUAUAAUUAGGUUUAAAAAAACUAAACAUGUAUGUAUUUAAAAACAAUAAGUGUGUUAGAAUUACUACAGCAACAGGUUGUAGCUCACUGUACUGUUUUUGAGCACAACUUUGGUGCUUUUGCCUCAUUUUUAAAUCAGUGAUCCCAGUAGCACAGUCUAAGCAGAGACCUCAGUGCUUGGCAAACAAUCAAUAGAAUCAAUAUAAUUAUUAAAAAGAAACAAAAUAAAUGCCAACCAUAUAAAAAACAUAAACUUAAAGAAAAAACUAAACUUGAUUUUAUGUCUUUAGGCUAUUGUUAACAGCAAGCAUGAGGUUAGUGCAUAUGUAUUAUUAUUGGAAAGAUUACUGCAAAGAAAAAAAAGUUGAACCAGGAGGGGGCGAUAUUGCUCUUCUUACAAUGAGUUACAUGCAGGCUAUUACUUACCGUGUCACUCACAUUUAUUUCACAAAUUAGCUGAACCCACUUAAUUCGAUUUAAUUGUAUUUAUGCAGAGCUGAAUCACAACAACAUUCUCCUCGAGGUGGUAUAGAUUGUAAGGUAGAAAGUCUACAAUUAAAAAGAAAAAACCUCAAUACAGUGGGAAGGAACAACUCACUUUUAACAGGAAGCACCCUCUGGCAGAACCACGGUCAGGGAGCAAACUAUCAAACUACGAGGUCUUUAAAAUAAGGGUUCCACAGUGUCACAGUUUUCUGCAUAUAGUCGAUUAAUAAAUGUUGAGAAAACAACUAAUCG